rnacentral:rRNA from 1 species
GACGAACGCUGGCGGCGUGCUUAACACAUGCAAGUCGAACGGAAAGGCCCUGCUUUUGUGGGGUGCUCGAGUGGCGAACGGGUGAGUAACACGUGAGUAACCUGCCCUUGACUUUGGGAUAACUUCAGGAAACUGGGGCUAAUACCGGAUAUGAGCUCCUGCUGCAUGGUGGUGGUUGGAAAGUUUCGGCGGUUGGGGAUGGACUCGCGGCUUAUCAGCUUGUUUGUGGGGUAGUGGCUUACCAAGGCUUUGACGGGUAGCCGGCCUGGGAGGGUGACCGGCCACAAGGGGACUGAGAUACGGAGCAGACGCGUACGGGAGGCAGCAGUGGGAAAUAUUGCAGAAUGGGCGGGAGCCUGAUGCAGCAACGCCGCGUGCGGGAAGACGGCCUUCGGGUUGUAAACCGCUUUCGCCUGUGACGAAGCGUGAGUGACGGUAAUGGGUAAAGAAGCACCGGCUAACUACGUG